UAGUAAUUCUAUAUUACUAUAGUUAUAUAACAAAUUCUUACUGUAAAACCCUCUAUUUCUAAAAUUAACCUCGGAUUAGGUAAGAAUACCUAUUGAAUUUAAGUAUAUUAAUAAGUAAAGGAAAAGAAACUAAUAGAAAUUACCCUAAUAACAGCGAAUAAAACGGCAAUAACUCAAAUUUAAAAUCUAACUUUAACCCAAAUUAUAAUUUAUAAAAGAAGCUUUUAGUAAAGCACCUUCUAAAUCCCUUAAAACGGAGCGCUAUAGAGGGUAAAAGCCCUAUAUAGUCGGAUGCUAAUCUAAUAUAAAGCUCCUUCAACGAAUUAAAUAAUUUAGGAAUACUACUCAAAAUAGAAGGUAAAUUUCUUUUAAAGCUAAAUACCGGCUAGAAAUUAAUAGCGUACAAAUAAAGUAAUCGAAAAAUAAAAAACACUUUAAAAAGAGGGUUAAAUAAUAUAUAAAAUUAUUAAAAGGGAAGCGUUUGUAAUUAGACUUACGCUAUUCUAAUUAUCUAAUAUUCUUACUGGUAUACUUAAGAUAAUUUAAAUUAAUAUUAAUUUUAAUAAAGGGAUAAAGGUCUAAGGAACGUAGCUCCUCUAAAAAUAUUAUAACCCUAAGCGUAAUACCUUCGCCGGGACUGAAGUUCGUAUAUUUAUAAAAAUACUAGUAUAAUAAUUAUUAACAACCUAUUUUAAAAUACAAAUUAAAGAAUUAAGGUUUUAUACAAAUAUUUAAAUAUAAAACCUAUACGUAUAAUAAAAAUAAAUAUAAAUAAGAGCUUCGGCGUAUUAUUAACUAAUCCUAAUAUAUUCGGAUAGAU
rnacentral:rRNA from 2 species